CUUUUAAAACAGGUGGGUGUCCAGUUCUAUCCAUGCAAAAAUGAUCAGAAAAAGGGGAAAAAAGAUGAAAAACACCCUCCUGCAAAAUGAACCUCACAGCAAAACAAGCUUACAAGUAAUGAUCUAAAAUGGUGGAGCAUUCCAGGCCUUGUCUAUGGUAACUGUGUACAGCUAUAGGAGACUUAUUUCUAGCAUCUCUCAAACUUUCCAGCAGAAGCAUAGAACUUAAAUAAGAGAUUCUUGCAUAUUAUAAGAACUGAAAAUACUUGGGGAUUCUUCACAUGAAUAACUUGAAAGCUGAGUGUAGAUUCAUCACAAGAUCCUUCACUGACAUGCCAAAUUCCAUAUCCAUCUC
rnacentral:misc_RNA from 1 species